GAAGACGGCCAUAGUAACCGUGAAACGCCUGUUCCCAUUCCGAACACAGAAGCUAAGUCGGUUACGUCGGUUGUGUUAGUGUCCGAAAAGACGCGAAACUCCGAUGUUGUCUUCG
rnacentral:rRNA from 1 species